GCUAUCUGCAGUAUUUAAAGAUGCGAACCUGCGGCAGGUUCGAGUCGAACGUAGUGAGACAACGACGUCGUUUACGACGAUGGCCCGAAGGGCGAGCGAAGCGAGUCAUCCUGCACGCCCCACCA
rnacentral:sRNA from 1 species